rnacentral:misc_RNA from 1 species
UCCGGCUUAUCACCGGCGGUUCCCCUAGAGUGCCCGGCCGGACCGCUGGCAACUAGGGGCGAGGGUUGCGCUCGUUGCGGGACUUAACCCAACAUCUCACGACACGAGCUGACGACAGCCAUGCACCACCUGUAUACCGACCACAAGGGGGGCCGUAUCUCUACGGCUUUCCGGUAUAUGUCAAACCCAGGUAAGGUUCUUCGCGUUGCAUCAAAUUAAUCCACAUGCUCCGCCGCUUGUGCGGGCCCCGUCAAUUCCUUUGAGUUUUAGCCUUGCGGCCGUACUCCCCAGGCGGGGCGCUUAAUGCGUUAACUGCGACACUGACCCCGAAGGGCCAACAUCUAGCAUACAUCGUUUACGGCGUGGACUAC